rnacentral:rRNA from 1 species
GACGUACGCUGGCGGCGUGCUUAACACAUGCAAGUCGAACGGAAAGGCCCUGCUUUUGUGGGGUGCUCGAGUGGCGAACGGGUGAGUAACACGUGAGUAACCUGCCCUUGACUUUGGGAUAACUUCAGGAAACUGGGGCUAAUACCGGAUAGGAGCUCCUGCUGCAUGGUGGGGGUUGGAAAGUUUCGGCGGUUGGGGAUGGACUCGCGGCUUAUCAGCUUGUUGGUGGGGUAGUGGCUUACCAAGGCUUUGACGGGUAGCCGGCCUGAGAGGGUGACCGGCCACGUUGGGACUGAGAUACGGCCCAGACUCCUACGGGAGGCAGCAGUGGGGAAUAUUGCACAAUGGGCGGAAGCCUGAUGCAGCAACGCCGCGUGCGGGAUGACGGCCUUCGGGUUGUAAACCGCUUUCGCCUGUGACGAAGCGUGAGUGACGGUAAUGGGUAAAGAAGCACCGGCUAACUACGUG